GAGUCGGCCAGGCAGCCGCUCCCGCCCGCGGGCGGGGGAGGAAAGUCCGGGCUCCACAGGGCAGGGUGCCAGGUAACGCCUGGGCGGCGUGAGCCGACGGAAAGUGCAGCAGAGAGCAGACCGCCAUUCUUCGGAAUGGUAAGGGUGAAACGGUGCGGUAAGAGCGCACCGCGUCGGUGGCAACAUCGACGGCACGGCAAACCCCACCCGGAGCAAGGCCAAAUAGGGGAACGCUCACGUGGCCCGCGUGGUUCCCGGGUAGGCUGCUUGAGGCGGGCGGUGACGCCCGCCCGAGAUGGAUGGCUGCCCACGACAGAACCCGGCUUAUGGCCGGCUC
rnacentral:RNase_P_RNA from 1 species